rnacentral:rRNA from 1 species
UACGUAGGGCGCAAGCGUUAUCCGGAAUUACUGGGCGUAAAGCGCGUGUAGGCGGCCCUGCAAGUCGGGUGUGAAAUCCCACGGCUCAACCGUGGAAGUGCACUCGAAACUGCAGGGCUAGAGUCCUGGAGAGGAAGGUGGAAUGCUUGGUGUAGAGGUGAAAUUCGUAGAUAUCAAGCGGAACACCGGUGGCGAAGGCGGCCUUCUGGACAGUGACUGACGCUGAGACGCGAAAGCGUGGGGAGCAAACAGG